UCGAUAGCUCAGUCGGUAGAGCAGAGGACUGAAAAUCCUCGUGUCGCUGGUUCGAUUCCUGCUCGAGC
rnacentral:tRNA from 6 species